GCUGGGAAGGCAAAGGGAC
rnacentral:ncRNA from 2 species